rnacentral:rRNA from 1 species
ACGCUCGACACCUGGCAGCAGUGAGGAAUAUUGGUCAAUGGACGCAAGUCUGAACCAGCCAUGCCGCGUGCAGGAUGACGGCUCUAUGAGUUGUAAACUGCUUUUGUACGAGGGUAAACGCAGAUACGUGUAUCUGUCUGAAAGUAUCGUACGAAUAAGGAUCGGCUAACUCCGUGCUAGCAGCCGCGGUAAUCUGAGCGGGCUGGCAAGGC